rnacentral:rRNA from 1 species
AUUGAACGCUGGCGGCAGGCCUAACACAUGCAAGUCGAGCGAGCGGCGGACGGGUGAGUAAUGUCUGGGAAACUGCCCGAUGGAGGGGGAUAACUACUGGAAACGGUAGCGAAUACCGAAUAACCUCAGAUGUGCCCAGAUGGGAUUAGCUAGUAGGUGGGGUGACGGGUCACCUAGGCGACGAUCCCGAGCUGGGCUGAGAGGCUGACCAGGCACACUGGAACGGAGACACGGUGCAGACUCCUACGGGAGGCAGCAGUGGGGAAGAUGGCCCGAUGGGAGCAAGCCGGAUGCAGCCAUGCCGCGUGUGUGAAUAAGGCCUGAGGGGUGUAAAGCACUUGCAGCGGGGAGGCGUUACCCGCAGAAGAAGCACCGGCUAACUCCGUGCCAGCAGCCGCGGUAAUUC